GAUGAACGCUGGCGGCGUGCCUAAUACAUGCAAGUCGAGCGAACGGACGAGAAGCUUGCUUCUCUGAUGUUAGCGGCGGACGGGUGAGUAACACGUGGAUAACCUACCUAUAAGACUGGGAUAACUUCGGGAAACCGGAGCUAAUACCGGAUAAUAUUUUGAACCGCAUGGUUCAAAAGUGAAAGACGGUCUUGCUGUCACUUAUAGAUGGAUCCGCGCUGCAUUAGCUAGUUGGUAAGGUAACGGCUUACCAAGGCAACGAUGCAUAGCCGACCUGAGAGGGUGAUCAGCCACACUGGAACUGAGACACGGUCCAGACUCCUACGGGAGGCAGCAGUAGGGAAUCUUCCGCAAUGGGCGAAAGCCGGACGGAGCAACGCCGCGUGAGUGAUGAAGGUCUUCGGAUCGUAAAACUCUGUUAUUAGGGAAGAACAUAUGUGUAAGUAACUGUGCACAUCUUGACGGUACCUAAUCAGAAAGCCACGGCUAACUACGUG
rnacentral:rRNA from 1 species